rnacentral:rRNA from 1 species
AUUGAACGCUGGCGGAAUGCUUUACACAUGCAAGUCGAACGGCAGCACGGGGGCAGCCCUGGUGGCGAGUGGCGAACGGGUGAGUAAUACAUCGGGACGUGCCCGGUCGUGGGGGAUAACGUAGCGAAAGUUACGCUAAUACCGCAUACGAUCUGAGGAUGAAAGCGGGGGACCUUCGGGCCUCGCGCGAUCGGAGCGGCCGAUGUCAGAUUAGGUAGUUGGUGGGGUAAAGGCCUACCAAGCCGACGAUCUGUAGCUGGUCUGAGAGGACGACCAGCCACACUGGGACUGAGACACGGCCCAGACUCCUACGGGAGGCAGCAGUGGGGAAUUUUGGACAAUGGGCGCAAGCCUGAUCCAGCCAUUCCGCGUGCAGGACGAAGGCCUUCGGGUUGUAAACUGCUUUUGUACGGAACGAAAAGGCUCUGGCUAAUACCUGGGGCUCAUGACGGUACCGUAAGAAUAAGCACCGGCUAGCUACGUG